rnacentral:tRNA from 1 species
CGGUAGCUUAGUUGGUAAAGCACUUGUCUAGCGAAUAAGGGUCGUGAGUUCAAAUCUCACCUG